CCUACGGGUGGCAGCAGUAGGGAAUAUUGCUCAAUGGGGGCAACCCUGAAGCAGCAACGCCGCGUGGAGGAAGAAGGUUUUCGGAUUGUAAACUCCUUUUGUCAGGGAGGAUAAUGACGGUGUCUAACGAAUAAGCACCGGCUAACUCCGUGCCAGCAGCCGCGGUAAUACGGAGGGUGCAAGCGUUACUCGGCAUCACUGGGCGUAAGGAGCGCGUAGGCGGGAUAGCAUGUCAGAUGUGAAAUCCUAUGGCUUAACCAUAGAACUGCAUUUGAAACUGUUAGUCUAGAGUAUGGGAGAGGUAGGUGGAAUUCUUGGUGUAGGGGUAAAAUCCGUAGAGAUCAAGAGGAAUACUCAUGGCGAAGGCGACCUGCUAGAACAUAACUGACGCUGAGGCGCGAAAGCGUGGGGAGCAAACAGGAUUAGAUACCCGGGUAGUC
rnacentral:rRNA from 1 species